UAUGAAAUGGUAAUGAAAAUAAACAUCUGAGAAAAGCAAAUUCCAUGAACUAAUUUGAAAGUAUCUGUUACCAGAAGUAAAUUUUUUACUAUACCACUGUUCAAUAUUAAACCACAGGUAUAUGUACUAAAGGCAGCAAUCCUGCUUCUUCACAUGAAUUUUACCCGCAUGACGACGGUUUUUAAUAUAAAAAAUAUUUACACAAUGUCUCAAAAAGCAAUCAAAGCUUUGAAAAAUAAACAAUGUUCGCAGAAGUUCAGUACCAACAAACUCACAAAAAAUGAGCCCAAAUUUAGCAUUACUUGCAAGCCAGACUAAGAAAUUUCAAGAAGAUAAUUUAAAAGAAGACAAUAGAAUAAAAUAAUAUUAACACACAAUGCUUAGCAAAUAUAGCAUUAACAGAUGGAAACCAGGCAAUAGGUGUAGCAAAAUAGAAGAUGAAGGUCUAGCUGUGCCAGUCAG
rnacentral:lncRNA from 1 species